UCACAUAUAAUUUAUCAGGUAAAAUAAGUGGUUUCCAGCCACUAAUGGCGGGUUCGAGCCCUGCUAUGUGAA
rnacentral:tRNA from 1 species